AUGUACCCACGUACACUCCGGUUCCUCCGCGCCGUCCGCACUCACCUGACGACUGCUCGCUACGUUUUGUUAGCC
rnacentral:sRNA from 4 species